GACGAACGCUGGCGGCGCGCCUAACACAUGCAAGUCGAACGGAGUUAUUUUCUUCACUCCGAGCUUUUUGCCGGUUAGCCGGAGCGGCGAUCGGUUUUGCCCAGCAUAAAAAGCAAAACCAAUUUAGGCUCAUAAAGUAAGACUAACACAGAGGGCAGAGAGUUGGGAGUGAAGAAAAUAACUUAGUGGCGAACGGGUGAGUAACGCGUGAGUAACCUGCCCUGGAGUGGGGGACAACAGUUGGAAACGACUGCUAAUACCGCAUAAGCCCACGGCCCGGCAUCGGGCUGCGGGAAAAGGAUUUAUUCGCUUCAGGAUGGACUCGCGUCCAAUUAGCUGGUUGGUGAGGUAACGGCCCACCAAGGCGACGAUUGGUAGCCGGACUGAGAGGUUGAACGGCCACAUUGGGACUGAGACACGGCCCAGACUCCUACGGGAGGCAGCAGUGGGGGAUAUUGCACAAUGGGGGAAACCCUGAUGCAGCGACGCCGCGUGGAGGAAGAAGGUUUUCGGAUUGUAAACUCCUGUCGUUAGGGACGAUAAUGACGGUAC
rnacentral:rRNA from 1 species